AUGGCGAGGGCGAAGGCACCGAGGCGGAAGCCGCCGCAGGCGGUCUCCCGACGGCUCCUCGGAUUUUGCGGGCUGAGCUUCGCGGCGGCGUUGUACGUGGGGAUUGACUACCUGCGGUACCUCUCGCCGACAUGGCACGACCGGCUGCAGCCGGUGCUCUGGGCGGCGCUGGCGCUCGCCGCCGCCGCGCGCGCACCGUUCUACCGCCACUGGGAUGUCGAGCUCCGGGCGGUGCUUCCCUUCCUCGGUUCCAUCGUCUUCAUGCUCAGCGCCUUCCUCAUCGAGAUGAUCUCCGUCCGCUUCGUCUCCGUCCUGAUGGGGCUCCAGUGGCACGGAUCUGCUGCUCCACUUCCUGACACUGGCCAAUGGCUGCUUCUAGCUUUGAAUGAGAAGCUUCCUGGAAGUGUUGUUGAUCUAUUGAGAGCUCAUGUUAUCACUCUUCACCAUUAUUUGAUGUUAUUUAUGAUGUUGGGGUUCUCAGUGCUGUUCGAUUGCAUCAAGGCACCUGGUCUUGGAAUAGCCACAAGAUAUAUGUUCACCAUGGCAGUCGGAAGGUUGCUUCGGACGGCAACUUUUGUUGGUACAAUUCUUCCAUCUGCAAGACCUUGGUGUGCUGCAGGUCGUUAUCAAAUACCUGGGCACCCUCAUCCCUGGGCGCAAAAAUAUUAUGUUCCAUAUGCUUCUGAUUCACAUGCUAUUCGUGCGGUCAUAGACACUGAUAUGGCUUAUGCUGAUGUUCAAGCUUACCCUGAUGAGUACAGUCCUGACUGGGGUCGGAUGAGUUUCUUAGUAGACAUUUUGAGGCCAACCCCUGGAGAGGGGCCUGCAUGGUACCAUCUGUUGAAAAAAGCCAGUGGAGGUUGCAAUGAUCUUAUGUAUAGUGGGCACAUGCUUGUCGCUGUUCUUACUGCCAUGGCGUGGACGGAAGCUUAUGGAGGCUGGAUUUCUGUUGCAAUAUGGUUUCUCGUCCUGCACAGUGCACAAAGGGAGAUACGUGAACGGCAUCAUUACACUGUGGACUGCGUCGUGGCAAUCUACGUCGGAAUCCUCUUGUGGAGGAUGACACGGUUCAUCUGGUCUGCUAGAGAUGCCAGCCGAGCUAGAAGGCUUGCUAAGCUUGAAGAGGUUCAGAGCAGGCUAAUUCAUGCAGCGAAGGACGCAGACGUCAAUGAGAUCCGGGAUCUGCUGAAGGAGGUUGAGCUAGCAGGCCAUGACAAGCCUGGCUUUUCACAGAGAGCCAUCCUGGCCUUUGCUGCAGCUACAAUUAUUUUCACGCUGACCUGUGUUGUCCUUGCCCUUACUUUAACCAGUGACGGGUGA
rnacentral:rRNA from 1 species